rnacentral:rRNA from 1 species
UGGUCCUACGGGGGGCAGCAGUGGGGGAAAUUGCACAAUGGGGGAAACCCUGAAGCAGCAACGCCGCGUGGAGGAUGAAGGUUUUCGGAUUGUAAACUCCUUUUGUUAGAGAAGAUAAUGACGGUAUCUAACGAAUAAGCACCGGCUAACUCCGUGCCAGCAGCCGCGGUAAUACGGAGGGUGCAAGCGUUACUCGGAAUCACUGGGCGUAAGGAGCGCGUAGGCGGGAUAGCAAGUCAGAUGUGAAAUCCUAUGGCUUAACCAUAGAACUGCAUGUGAAACUGUUAUUCUAGAGUAUGGUAGAG